CAUGUUGCCCACACGUACAGGAACCCCCUACAUGAAUCAGUCAGCUGCAGAACUUGGGAGAGGCUCAUCAUGCUGAAAUUGGCAUCAGUGCCUCUCAAUUAACUAUCACACUAAAAAUAGAUCCAUCUCCCUUUUUCCACGUCUGGGCUGAAGUCUAAAUCAUUCCCAGAGCCUGAAUUUGAUGGAAGUCCUUUAGCAGACCUGCCAGCAGGGAGUGGGAGAGACCUGUCUGAAUUUGAAGAUCAGCAGUGAGUAGGAUACUGCUUUCCACCUAACAAGACUAAAACACUGUGGGAGGGCUGUCCUGGACCUGUGAGGCUGUAGUGACUGUGCUUGUUUCGAUCUCCCAAGAAUCACCCAAGGAUCAAGUGGUGAUGCCUUUGCCUGCUGCUGAGCUUUCACAAGCCCCAGCUGCAGGGCCAUCCAGGUUAGCAAUAAAAAUAAUGUCAAACAA